rnacentral:rRNA from 1 species
AUCAUGGCUCAGGACGAACGCUGGCGGCGUGCCUAACACAUGCAAGUCGAGCGGAGACAGUGAGUAGCUUGCUACGAGCUGUUUUAGCGGCGGACGGGUGAGUAACGCGUGAGCAACCUUUCCCAGACAGGGGAAUAACACACCGAAAGGUGUACUAAUACCGCAUAAGACCACGGGAUCACAUGGUUCUGAGGUAAAAGAUUUAUCGGUUUGGGGUGGGCUCGCGUCCGAUUAGGUAGUUGGUGAGGUAACGGCCCACCAAGCCGACGAUCGGUAGCCGACCUGAGAGGGUGAUCGGCCACAUUGGGACUGAGACACGGCCCAAACUCCUACGGGAGGCAGCAGUGGGGAAUAUUGGGCAAUGGGGGGAACCCUGACCCAGCAACGCCGCGUGGAGGAAGAAGGUUUUCGGAUCGUAAACUCCUGUCCUUGGAGACGAGUAGAAGACGGUAUCCAAGGAGGAAGCCCCGGCUAACUACGUGCCAGCAGCCGCGGUAAUACGUAGGGGGCAAGCGUUGUCCGGAAUAAUUGGGCGUAAAGGGCGCGUAGGCGGCUCGGUAAGUCUGGAGUGAAAGUCCUGCUUUUAAGGUGGGAAUUGCUUUGGAUACUGUCGGGCUUGAGUGCAGGAGAGGUUAGCGGAAUUCCCAGUGUAGCGGUGAAAUGCGUAGAGAUUGGGAGGAACACCAGUGGCGAAGGCGACUAACUGGACUGUAACUGACGCUGAGGCGCGAAAGUGUGGGGAGCAAACAGGAUUAGAUACCCUGGUAGUCCACACUGUAAACGAUGAAUGCUAGGUGUAGGGGGUAUCGACCCCUUCUGUGCCGCAGUUAACACAAUAAGCAUUCCGCCUGGGGAGUACGGCCGCAAGGUUGCAACUCAAAGGAAUUGACGGA